AUUGAACGCUGGCGGCAGGCCUAACACAUGCAAGUCGAAUGGUAACAGGAAACAGCUUGCUGUUUCGCUGACGAGUGGCGGACGGGUGAGUAAUGUCUGGGAAACUGCCUGAUGGAGGGGGAUAACUACUGGAAACGGUAGCUAAUACCGCAUAACGUCGCAAGACCAAAGAGGGGGACCUUCGGGCCUCUUGCCAUCAGAUGUGCCCAGAUGGGAUUAGCUAGUAGGUGGGGUAACGGCUCACCUAGGCGACGAUCCCUAGCUGGUCUGAGAGGAUGACCAGCCACACUGGAACUGAGACACGGUCCAGACUCCUACGGGAGGCAGCAGUGGGGAAUAUGGCACAAUGGGCGCAAGCCUGAUGCAGCCAUGCCGCGUGUAUGAAGAAGGCCUUCGGGUUGUAAAGUACGUUCAGCGGGGAGGAAGGGAGUAAAGUUAAUACCUUGGCUCAUUGACGUUACCCGCAGAAGAAGCACCGGCUAACUCCGUG
rnacentral:rRNA from 1 species